rnacentral:rRNA from 1 species
UACGUAGGGGGCAAGCGUUGUCCGGAAUUAUUGGGCGUAAAGCGCGCGCAGGCGGCUUUGUAAGUCUGUCGUUUAAGUUCGGGGCUCAACCCCGUAUCGCGAUGGAAACUGCAAGGCUUGAGUGCAGAAGAGGAAAGUGGAAUUCCACGUGUAGCGGUGAAAUGCGUAGAUAUCUGGAGGAACACCGGUGGCGAAGGCGGCAUCCUGGACCGAGAUUGACGCUGAGGCGCGAAAGCCAGGGGAGCAAACGGG